rnacentral:rRNA from 1 species
AUUGAACGCUGGCGGCAGGCCUAACACAUGCAAGUCGAACGAGUGGCGGACGGGUGAGUAAUGUCUGGGAAACUGCCUGAUGGAGGGGGAUAACUACUGGCAACGGUAGCUAAUACCGCAUACCAUCAGAUGUGCCCAGAUGGGAUUAGCUUGUUGGUGGGGUAACGGCUCACCAAGGCGACGAUCCCUAGCUGGUCUGAGAGGAUGACCAGCCACACUGGAACUGAGACACGGUCAAGACGCCUACGGGAGGCAGCAGUGGGGAAUAGUGGACAAGGGGCGAAAGCCUGAUGCAGCAAUGCCGCGGGGAGGAAGAAGGCCUUCGGGUUGUAAAGUACUUUCAGCGGGGAGGCGUUACCCGGAGAAGAAGCACGGGCUAACUCCGUGCCAGCAGCCGCGGUAAUAC